UUUGUAUGUGUGUGUGUGUGUAUGUGUGUCUGUGAAUGUAUGAGUGUGUCUGUAUAUAUAUAUAUAUAUAUAUAUAUAUAUAUAUAUAUAUAUAUAUGCAGACACACACACACACACAUAUACACAUAUUUU